rnacentral:rRNA from 1 species
GAUGAACGCUGGCGGCGUGCUUAACACAUGCAAGUCGAACGGAAAGGCUCCUGCUUGCAGGGGUACUCGAGUGGCGAACGGGUGAGUAACACGUGGGUGAUCUGCCCUGCACUUCGGGAUAAGCCUGGGAAACUGGGUCUAAUACCGGAUAGGACGAUGGUUUGGAUGCCAUUGUGGAAAGUUUUUCGGUGUGGGAUGAGCUCGCGGCCUAUCAGCUUGUUGGUGGGGUAAUGGCCUACCAAGGCGUCGACGGGUAGCCGGCCUGGGAGGGUGUACGGGCCAUUGGGGCAGGGGGAAGGGCCAGGGCCCCAGAGGGGGGAAGGGGUGGGGAAAUUGGCCAAAGGGGCCGAAUCGGUGUAGAAGGCCCCCGGGGGGGGGAGACCGGCUUUCGGGUUAAAAACCCCUUUCGCUAGGGACGAGCCGCAAUGAAGGUACCCUGGGAAAAAAGCCCCGGCAAAUUAGGG